rnacentral:lncRNA from 1 species
UGGCAGUAUAUAUUUCAAUGACAAUUAUGCAUAUUUUCAGCUCUGAAUCAAGAGAAGCUGCAUCCGAGUAUCCUCACUCCCAUUUACAAAAGGUAACAGAUCACAUUAUACUGGACUUGAGCUUAAUGCUAUAAUUGAAAGAGACUUGUUGGGAGUCCUGAGAGGGUUAAGGAUAUUUUGUGUUUGGGGAGAAUGUAAAUAAUUGGAACCAGAGAGAAGGCAGUGAUAAAUUGUGUUGGGGGAAGAAUGGCAACAUUAUUUUGCAGCAACUCUCAUUAAAAAAUUGAGUCUAUUUUUCCACCCCUUGAAUGUGGGCUUGGCUAUGUGAUUUGCUUUGGUCAAUGGGAUAUUACUAAGCAUAAUAGAAGCAGAGGCUUGAAAUGAGCUUGAACAUUUGAACUUGCUUUCUUGUUGCUUUUG